CUACGGGUCGCUGCAGUAAGGAAUAUUGCGCAAUGGGGGAAACCCUGACGCAGCGACGCCGCGUGGAUGAUGAAGGCCUUAGGGUCGUAAAAUCCUGUCAGGUGGGAAGAAGUGGAUAUAGAUUAAUACUCUAUUUCUUUGACGGUACCACCAAAGGAAGCACCGGCUAACUCCGUGCCAGCAGCCGCGGUAAUACGGAGGGUGCAAACGUUGUUCGGAAUUACUGGGCGUAAAGCGCGCGUAGGCGGUUUGUUAAGUCAGAUGUGAAAGUCCAUGGCUCAACUAGGGAAGUGCAUUUGAAACUGGCAGACUUGAGUACUGGAGGGGGUGAUGGAAUUCCCGGUGUAGAGGUGAAAUUCGUAGAUAUCGGGAGGAAUACCGGUGGCGAAGGCGAUCACCUGGCCAGAUACUGACGCUGAGGUGCGAAAGCGUGGGGAGCAAACAGGAUUAGAUACCCUUGUAGUC
rnacentral:rRNA from 1 species